rnacentral:rRNA from 1 species
GAUGAACGCUAGCUACAGGCUUAACACAUGCAAGUCGAGGGGUAUCAGUUUGGUUUGCUUGCAAACCAAAGCUGGCGACCGGCGCACGGGUGAGUAAUACGUAUCCAACCUGCCUCAUACUCGGGGAUAGCCUUUCGAAAGAAAGAUUAAUAUCCGAUAGCAUAUAUUUCCCGCAUGGGUUUUAUAUUAAAGAAAUUCGGUAUGAGAUGGGGAUGCGUUCCAUUAGUUUGUUGGCGGGGUAACGGCCCACCAAGACUACGAUGGAUAGGGGUUCUGAGAGGAAGGUCCCCCACAUUGGAACUGAGACACGGUCCAAACUCCUACGGGAGGCAGCAGUGAGGAAUAUUGGUCAAUGGACGCGAGUCUGAACCAGCCAAGUAGCGUGAAGGAUGACUGCCCUAUGGGUUGUAAACUUCUUUUAUAUGGGAAUAAAGUGGUCC